CGAGCAGAACCCGAUAUGCUUUCGUGUCGCCUGACUCCAUCCGGAGACCCUCGCGGGCCUGCGCCAUGUCGGACGGGGUAUAGACCAGGUCUGCCGCAUGCGCCGGCCCUGAAAGGGCGGCACCCGGCGGGGGGCGGAUUUGGCGGUUCGGGCUUCGCGCCACCCAUUCCGCCCAUCUGGCCGGUUUCGCCCAUCGCCCCCAUUUUGUGCCCCGCGGGGGAGGCCGCG
rnacentral:misc_RNA from 1 species